CCUACGGGCGGCUGCAGUCGAGAAUUAUUCACAAUGGGGGAAACCCUGAUGGUGCGACGCCGCGUGGGGGAAUGAAGGUCUUCGGAUUGUAAACCCCUGUCAUGUGGGAGCAAAUUAAAAAGAUAGUACCACAAGAGGAAGAGACGGCUAACUCUGUGCCAGCAGCCGCGGUAAUACAGAGGUCUCAAGCGUUGUUCGGAAUCACUGGGCGUAAAGCGUGCGUAGGCUGUUUCGUAAGUCGUGUGUGAAAGGCGCGGGCUCAACCCGCGGACGGCACAUGAUACUGCGAGACUAGAGUAAGGGAGGGGGAACCGGAAUUCUCGGUGUAGCAGUGAAAUGCGUAGAUAUCGAGAGGAACACUCGUGGCGAAGGCGGGUUCCUGGACAGUAACUGACGCUGAGGCACGAAGGCCAGGGGAGCGAAAGGGAUUAGAUACCCGGGUAGUC
rnacentral:rRNA from 1 species